AAAGGAACUGGAAUCAGAGAUACCUUUACUUGAGGUUAAGAGAUUUUUAUAAAUUUAUAAACCAUAUGGACAGUUUAGUUACUGCCGGCUGUUCUCAAGUAGGGAAGGUUUCCAGCAAUAUUCCUAUGGCCCACUGGGCUGACCCACCCGGCGUGGAGAUGCAAAGGCUCGGAUCCAGAGGUCAUAUCGCAGGAUGAGGGUGUCCUGCAGUGUCUGGCACGGGAGGUAGUGUGGGCCGGCGGAGGAAAAUCAAGAUGUGGGACAGACAGAGCCAGAACAGACUCAUCAGAAGCUGGCCUGGAAAAAUGUUUCCAACCAUCAAGCUUGUACAACUAUAGGCACAUUUAAAAUUGAUAACUGGUCAAGAUGAAAUUUGAGGCCGACUAAGAAACAUGCCCCCCAAAAGAGAGGACAAAAAGGAUAUCAGAGAUGUGACAGUGAACCUGGAAAACUGGAAAUUCCUUACAUAUCUGUUCUUUCUGAAAAGAUUGAAAUGAACAAGAGAUUCUAAACUCUCUUCACGCUCACUGUGGUCGCUUCUACACCCAAAUCAAACAAACUCCGCCGGCUAAUUAGUUUUUGAAAGCACAAAGGAACGCAAUACAAGUUGGAGAAAGUGAAAGAACUUCUUUCUAAAUUCAAACGACUGAACAAGGAAACAUUCAGGGCUGCUGCUUUUACAAAAACAGAGCUCGGGGCUUUAAAACCUGCAUUUUCUCCCUGGGAGUAAGCAUUGGUUAAUGACUGCCAGCCGGUCUCUGGGUCUCGGCACCAUGUGACCGGGCCACGUGACUUGGAGC